GUCUCCUAGAAGGUAGGGUUCUAGAAGGUAGGGUUCUAGAAGGUAGGGUCUCCUAGAAGGUAGGGUUCUAGAAGGUAGGGUUCUAGAAGGUAGGGUCUUUUUUCUAGAAGGUAGGGUUCUGGAAGGUAGGGUUCUGGAAGGUAGGGUUCUAGAAGGUAGGGUCUUCUAGAAUGUAGAGUCUUCUAGAGGGUAGGGUUCUAGAAGGUAGGGUCUUCUAGAAUGUAGAGUCUUCUAGAGGGUAGUGUCUUUCUUCUAGAAGGUAGGGUCUCCUAAAAGGUAGUAUUCUAGAAGGUAGGAUAUUCUAGGCAGUAGGAUGUUCUAGAAGGUAGG